AGAUUGAACGCUGGCGGCAUGCCUUACACAUGCAAGUCGAACGGUAACGGGCCUUCGGGUGCCGACGAGUGGCGAACGGGUGAGUAAUGUAUCGGAACGUACCUUCAGUGGGGGAUAACGUAGCGAAAGUUACGCUAAUACCGCAUAUUCUGUGAGCAGGAAAGCAGGGGAUCGCAAGACCUUGCGCUGAUUGAGCGGCCGAUAUCAGAUUAGCUAGUUGGUGAGGUAAAGGCUCACCAAGGCGACGAUCUGUAGCGGGUCUGAGAGGAUGAUCCGCCACACUGGAACUGAGACACGGUCCAGACUCCUACGGGAGGCAGCAGUGGGGAAUUUUGGACAAUGGGGGCAACCCUGAUCCAGCCAUGCCGCGUGAGUGAAGAAGGCCUUCGGGUUGUAAAGCUCUUUCGGCCGGGAAGAAAUCGUAUGGGUUAAUACCCUGUGCGGAUGACGGUACCGGCAUAAGAAGCACCGGCUAACUACGUG
rnacentral:rRNA from 1 species